rnacentral:rRNA from 1 species
GAUGAACGCUGGCGGCGUGCCUAAUACAUGCAAGUCGAGCGAACGGACGAGAAGCUUGCUUCUCUGAUGUUAGCGGCGGACGGGUGAGUAACACGUGGAUAACCUACCUAUAAGACUGGGAUAACUUCGGGAAACCGGAGCUAAUACCGGAUAAUAUUUUGAACCGCAUGGUUCAAAAGUGAAAGACGGUCUUGCUGUCACUUAUAGAUGGAUCCGCGCUGCAUUAGCUAGUUGGUAAGGUAACGGCUUACCAAGGCAACGAUGCAUAGCCGACCUGAGAGGGUGAUCGGCCACACUGGAACUGAGAAACGGUCCAGACUCCUAAGGGAGGCAGCAGUAGGGAAUCUUCCGCAAUGGGCGAAAGCAUGACGGAGCAACGCGGCGUGAGUGAUGAAGGUCUUCGGAUCGUAAAACUCUGUUAUUAGGGAAGAACAUAUGUGUAAGUAACUGUGCACAUAUUGACGGUACCUAAUCAGAAAGCCACGGCUAACUACGUG